GGUGGGGUGGCCGAGUGGCUAAUGGCAGCAGACUGUAAAUCUGCCGGGUUAACGCCCUACGAAGGUUCGAAUCCUUCCCCCACCA
rnacentral:tRNA from 1 species